rnacentral:ribozyme from 1 species
GCUGCUCAAAACUUCACAUACCGCUACGAGGUGAGCAGCAGGCAAGGUGCUUUAUCGGAUAUGGUACUGAAUAAGGUUAA